GACGAACGCUGGCGGCGUGCUUAACACAUGCAAGUCGAACGGUAAGGCCCCUUCGGGGGUACACGAGUGGCGAACGGGUGAGUAACACGUGAGCAACCUGCCCUUGACUCUGGAAUAACAGUUGGAAACAGCUGCCAAUACCGGUUAUGACCUGUCACCGCAUGGUGGUGGGUGGAAAGUUCCGGCGGUCAGGGAUGGGCUCGCGGCCUAUCAGCUUGUUGGUGAGGUAACGGCUCACCAAGGCUUCGACGGGUAGCCGGCCUGAGAGGGCGACCGGCCACACUGGAACUGAGAUACGGCCCAGACUCCUACGGGAGGCAGCAGUGGGGAUAUUGCACAAUGGGCGAAAGCCUGAUGCAGCAACGCCGCGUGCGGGAUGACGGCCU
rnacentral:rRNA from 1 species